rnacentral:rRNA from 1 species
CAAGUGAUUCUGCGCCGACAAUUUAGCGGGGCUCAAGCACACCGCCGAAGCUGUGACAUUCAUGUGAUAACCCGGCCUCCUUAGCGGAGGUCCAGGUACAUGGAUGGGUAGGGGAGCGUCGGGUGGCGAGAGAAGCGGCGGAGUGAUCCAGCCGUGGACGCCACUCGAGUGAGAAUGCAGGCAUGAGUAGCGAAAGAGGGGUGAGAAACCCCUCCGCCGAAUGACCAAGGGUUCCUGGGGCAGGCUAAUCCGCCCAGGGUAAGUCGGGACCUAAGGCGAGGCCGACAGGCGUAGUCGAUGGACAACGGGUUGAUAUUCCCGUACCCGCUUAUAUGCGCCCAUGCUGAAUCUGGCGAUGCUAAGCAUCCAACGCCGGCGAUCCUUCGGGAUGACCCGGCUGCGGAUGCGGCCCGGACUGGUAGUAGGCAAGCCGUAGGGGCGACGCAGGAGGGUAGCUCUACCGGGCGAUGGUUGUCCCGGAGUAAAGGUGUAGGGCGGUGCGUAGGCAAAUCCGCGCACCAUACAGCCUGAGACCUGAUGCCGAGCCGAUUUAGGCGAAGUGAGUAAUCCCAUGCUGCCAAGAAAAACCCCGCGGCGAGCAUAUGAGCGGCCCGUACCCCAAACCGACUCAGGUGGUCAGGUAGAGAAUACCAAGGCGAUCGGGUGAACUGUGGUUAAGGAACUAGGCAAAUUAUCCCCGUAACUUUGGGAGAAGGGGAGCCGUGUCCGGUGACGGAGUUUUCCUCCUGAGCUGGGUGCGGUCGCAGAUACCAGGGAGAAGCGACUGUUUACUAAAAACACAGGUCCGUGCAAAGUCGCAAGACGACGUAUACGGACUGACGCCUGCCCGGUGCUGGAACGUUAAGGGGAGGGGUUAGUGACCUUCGGGUCGCGAAGCUCUGAACUUAAGCGCCAGUAAACGGCGGUGGUAACUAUAACCAUCCUAAGGUAGCGAAAUUCCUUGUCGGGUAAGUUCCGACCUGCACGAAUGGCGUAACGACUUCUCCACUGUCUCAACCACGGACCCGGCGAAAUUGCACUACGAGUAAAGAUGCUCGUUACGCGCAGCAGGACGGAAAGACCCCGGGACCUUUACUACAGCUUGGUAUUGGUGUUCGGUACGGCUUGUGUAGGAUAGGUGGGAGACUGUGAAGCGGACACGCCAGUGUCUGUGGAGUCAACGUUGAAAUACCACUCUGGUCGUUCUGGAUAUCUAACCUCGGUCCGUGAUCCGGAUCAGGGACAGUGCCUGGUGGGUAGUUUAACUGGGGCGGUUGCCUCCUAAAAAGUAACGGAGGCGCCCAAAGGUUCCCUCAGCCUGGUUGGUAAUCAGGUUUCGAGUGUAAGUGCACAAGGGAGCUUGACUGUGAGAGAGACAUCUCGAGCAGGGACGAAAGUCGGGACUAGUGAUCCGGCGGUGGCUUGUGGAAGCGCCGUCGCUCAACGGAUAAAAGGUACCCCGGGGAUAACAGGCUGAUCUUGCCCAAGAGUCCAUAUCGACGGCAUGGUUUGGCACCUCGAUGUCGGCUCGUCGCAUCCUGGGGCUGGAGUAGGUCCCAAGGGUUGGGCUGUUCGCCCAUUAAAGCGGCACGCGAGCUGGGUUUAGAACGUCGUGAGACAGUUCGGUCCCUAUCCGCUGUGCGCGUAGGAAACUUGAGAAGAGCUAUCCCUAGUACGAGAGGACCGGGAUGGACGAACCUCUGGUGUGUCAGUUGUUCUGCCAAGAGCACCGCUGAUUAGCUACGUUCGGAAGUGAUAACCGCUGAAAGCAUCUAAGCGGGAAGCACGCUUCAAGAUGAGGUUUCCAUGCCCCUUAGGGGUGAGAGGCUCCCAGCGAGACCACUGGGUUGAUAGGCCGGAUGUGGAAGCACCGUAAGGUGUGAAGCUGACCGGUACUAAUAAGCCGAUAACUUGAUAC